AGUAGUUAAAAGCGAGGGCCCUUAGCAACCCCCCUUAGCUUUUUUGAUCAUCCAAGCUUCGCCCUCUUUGUAGUUUAGUACUCUUGACGACGAAGUACCUAACCUACCAAUGUCAACAAACGGUUUAAUUUUAAAAAGGUAUUUUUAUUUUUAUAAAAAUAUAAGCUCUUUUUGAAAAUUGACACGCUGACGCGUGUGGAAUGGGUAAGGCAAAGCUCUCGUUCGGACAACAUAUGUUGUCCCCCUUCUUGUUCCCCAUUAGGGGAUGCCACAGCCCCUUUAUUUGUUCCUUGUAGUAGGCCUUCCGUUGAAACUAUAACAUAGCUGCAAAGCAGCGUAUGUUCCACAAGACUUCGUUAAGCCUUUGGUUAUUUUUUUUUAGCAAUAAAACCUAAAACUAUAGAAAGUUGCUAAACAGGUUUAAGACAUUAGAAUUUAUAUAAGAUAAAAUAACUUUUAGAGACAGAAGCUGUUAUUUAAUUUUUAGGCGCAAAGCGCUGUGAAUAAAAAAUUUUAAAAUCCGCUUUUUUAAAAUUUUUUUGUUUCUUAUUCUAAAAAAAUGCGUGAUCGCCCACGCGGCAAAGCUUCUAACUUGCUACAUUGUAACAAGAGUACUUACAAUUACCGUACGCGUAACCUACGGUGGCCUAAGGUGCAUCAGCGUUUUAAUAGCAGCUCGCGCUACAAGUUAUAGAAAGUCCAACAAACCACAAUGACGGUUAUAGCGNGCUAGUUUUGUUAUUCAUUUAAAACAAUGUAGUUCAAGGCAAAAUCCCUAAUGUAGUUAAAGUAAGGUGCCCUUCCGUAAAAAAGCUAAAAAUAUUGCGCUAUGUUGUUCCCCUUUN
rnacentral:lncRNA from 1 species